CGCUCGGCAAUUGCAGCUUGCGACCAGAGCUGCUGAAAUAUAUCUUUUGUUUGUUAUUACGGAAUUCCGAUUCAAAGUUUGUUUCAUGUGCAAUUGAAUGGGAAUUUGCAGUGACAUGUGAAUAAUUUAAAAACGGUUGUUCGUGCCAUUAACACGCUGCAAAAGUGCGUCCCAUGUCGCCGAGUCAGGUCUCCAUGAAGGUCCACUUGCAUCGGGGCCAAAGGAGGCUAUAACUGAAAAGACCCGUCGUCUUUUUUCCAUAUUGCUUACCCAUGUUUAGUGUCGCAGGGAGCUGGAGCCUCUUCCAGCUGACUUGACCUUAGAAGUGCCCGCCAAUGAAUCACAGGAACAGGGGCAUACACGGAAACAAGCAACCUUCCAUGUCAACCAGACGAAAGCCCCCUUGACCACUUUUAUUCCAUCCACCCGCCCGUCUUCACUUGGGUGAUCAGGAGCCUCUAUUCCAGCUGACCUUAUGCAAAAGGUAAGGUACACCCAGGACUGGUCGCCAGCCCUUCCUUCACAGGGCAUGUGUACAUUUAUGAUGAAUCUUCACCAAUAAUAAUUAUAAUAAUCAUAAUAAUACAUUUUAUUUAUAAGUGCCUUUCAAAAUACCCAAGGACACUUUACAAUCAAAAAAGAACAAUACAACCACAGAUAAAAUAAUAAAUAAUAAAAAGCGAUUAGUUUAAACUGUAUAUGCAAUUUUAAAAUGGUGGGUUUUGUGAUGAGUUUUGAAUAUGGGAAGAGAGACAAUAUUUCGGAUGUCGGGUGGGAGUGAGUUCCAGAGUUCACUAAACCUAAUCGGCAUCCACUCUGCCCCAACC